CCCUGGCUCAGAACGAACGCUGGCGGCAGGCUUAACACAUGCAAGUCGAGCGCCCCGCAAGGGGAGCGGCAGACGGGUGAGUAACGCGUGGGAAUCUACCCAACUCUACGGAAUAACUCAGGGAAACUUGUGCUAAUACCGUAUACGCCCUUCGGGGGAAAGAUUUAUCGGAGUUGGAUGAGCCCGCGUUGGAUUAGCUAGUUGGUGGGGUAAAGGCCUACCAAGGCGACGAUCCAUAGCUGGUCUGAGAGGAUGAUCAGCCACAUUGGGACUGAGACACGGCCCAAACUCCUACGGGAGGCAGCAGUGGGGAAUAUUGGACAAUGGGCGCAAGCCUGAUCCAGCCAUGCCGCGUGUGUGAUGAAGGCCUUAGGGUUGUAAAGCACUUUCACCGGAGAAGAUAAUGACGGUAUCCGGAGAAGAAGCCCCGG
rnacentral:rRNA from 1 species